GGACUACUGGGGUUUCUAAUCCUGUUUGCUACCCACGCUUUCGCGUCUCAGAGUCAAGGGUGGCCCAGAAGGCCGCCUUCGCCACCGGUAUUCCUCCAAAUAUCUACGAAUUUCACCUCUACACUUGGAAUUCCACCUUCCUCUACCACCUUCUAGUCUAUCAGUUUCGAAUGCACUUCCUCGGUUGAGCCCAGGGAUUUCACACCCGACUUAAUAGACAUCCUACACGCGCUUUACGCCCAAUGAUUCCGAACAACGCUUGCCCCCUUCGUAUUACCGCGGCUGCUGGCAC
rnacentral:rRNA from 1 species